rnacentral:rRNA from 1 species
AUGGCAAUGAUGGACGUCGAUGCUCCCUUUCUUGAGGAUAAGGAAGAGCCGCUCGCCGGCGUCUGCGACUUCCGCGGCCGCGCCGUCUACCGCACCACCUCCGGCGGGUGGCGAUCCGCCUUCUUCCUCGUCGUGGUGGAGGUCGCCGUCAUCAUCGCCUACUACGGCGUGUCGGCGAACCUGAUCACGUACCUGACAGGGCCGCUCGGCCAAUCCAACGCGGCGGCGGCCACGGCAGUGAACGUCUGGACGGGGACGGCCAGGCUCAUGCCGCUGCUGGGUGCCUUCGUCGCCGACUCCUGGUUGGGCCGCUACCGCUCCAUCAUCCUCGCCUGCACCCUCUAUGUCCUGGGCUAUGGCAUGAUCACUCUAGCAUCAACACUCCUGUCUCAGCGACCGUCUGCAUCCCUUGGCAAAGACUCCUCGUCUUCCCCUUUUUCGCUGGAGGUGUCCUUCUUCUAUGUCUCCCUCUAUCUCAUCGCGCUCGCGCAGGGUGUCGGCAAACCUUGUGGGCUUGCCUUCGCCGCAGAUCAAUUCGAUCCCAACCACGCUAGGGAGUUCACCGCCCGGAGCUCCCUCUUCAACUGGUGGCACUUCUUCAUAGCCAUUGGGAUCAGUUUCGCUGUCAUCGUUGUCAGCUACAUCCAGGAGAAUGUUGGUUGGGGAAUUGGCUUUGGCACGCUCUUCACCGUCAUGAUUUGCGCUUUUGUUGUCUUCCUCCUUGGCAUUCCCACCUACCGCCUCCAUGUGCCUGUCACUGGCUCUGAUAACCCUUUUGCUCGUCUUGGUCGUAGUGUCUUUGCGCUUGCUAGGAACUCAAGCUUCCGUGUCUGCGCUAAAAGACAUCAUCAUGAAGAUGAAGAUGUCGCAACCAGCAUGGAGGAGGCGCGUUGCGUGCUACAACUACUGCCGAUCUGGGCAGCAUGCCUAGCUUAUGGUGUGGUGAUUGCGCAGAUCAUGACACUUUUUAACAAGCAGGGACGCACCCUAAAUCGUCAUAUUGGUGGCCUAGAGCUACCUCCGGCCACAUUGCAAGUGUUCUGGCCGGCAGCCGGCUUACUGUUUGUGCCCAUCUAUGACCGUGUUCUAGUUCCGGCACUACGUUACACGACGGGCACCCCAUCGGGGUUGACGCUGUUGCAGCGAGUAGGUACGGGCAUGGUUGUCUCAAUGGUCGCCAUGUGUGUUGCGGCAUUGGUGGAGACCCAAAGGUUGGAGAUGGCACGGAAGAACAACCUAGUUGACAACGCCAUGGCGACGAUACCGAUGAGCUGGGCAUGGUUGGUUCCGCAGUAUGUGAUGAUUGGGGUGUCCGACGUGUUUGUGUUAGUCGGGAUGCAGGAGUUCUUCUAUGACCAAAUGCCCAGUGAGCUUCGCAGCCUUGGCAUAGCGCUCUUCUAUAGCGUGAUGGGAAUCGGCGGCUUCAUCAGCGGCGCUCUCAUAUCACUCAUGGACCACAUCACCCGCAGCGGUGGGGGCGAAAGCUGGUUCUCUAACAACCUCAAUCGCGCCCACCUUGACUACUUCUACUGGUUGCUCGCUGGCCUAAGUGCGGCCGAGCUUGCCCUCUAUAUCUACAUCACCAGAAACUAUGUCUACAAGGAAAAGAGUCAGCUGAGAGUGACAACCUAG